rnacentral:rRNA from 1 species
GUAGGGAAUCUUCCACAAUGGACGAAAGUCUGAUGGAGCAACGCCGCGUGAGUGAAGAAGGUCUUCGGAUCGUAAAACUCUGUUGUUAGAGAAGAACGUGCAUGAUAGUAACUGAUCAUGUAAUGACGGUAUCUAACCAGAAAGCCACGGCUAACUACGUGCCAGCAGCCGCGGUAAUACGUAGGUGGCAAGCGUUGUCCGGAUUUAUUGGGCGUAAAGGGAACGCAGGCGGUUUUUUAAGUCUGAUGUGAAAGCCUUCGGCUUAACCGAAGAAUAGCAUUGGAAACUGGAAGACUUGAGUGCAGAAGAGGAGAGUGGAAUUCCAUGUGUAGCGGUGAAAUGCGUAGAUAUCGGGAGGAACACCAGUGGCGAAGGCGGCUUCCUGGCACAAUACUGACGCUCAUGUGCGAAAGCUAGGGCAGCGAACGGGAUUAGAAACCCGGGUAGUCC